ACUGAAGUCCCAUGGUCUUCCUCACCUCCAGGAGUGAUAUGAUCAGAGUGAGCACUAUCAGUGUUUGUAUAGGCGUGAUCUGCAGCCCUCCAGAUCUGACUCUUCCCAGGAGUCUAUCAGCUAUUCAGCCCUUCUCUCCUUCACUGAUGAAAACCUCCGCCUUUGUUAAAGGAUACCAGGUGAUCAAGGAUCCAGUUACAUUGUAUGAACUGCAGCCAGUGAUUCAUCACCAUCACACUCAAAUCAUACCUAGUUUUUUUCAGCACUAUAAUGAACUACCCAAGUGUCCAAAAUAAAAGUUAGUGUGCACUUCACAGCAAUUUGUUGUUGAUUACUGUAAAGUUAAGAAGCGGUUAUGAUCGUAACAGUAUCCCGUAUUCAUUAUUAGAAAUGGGCUGGUAACACUUGAAAGCAGUAUUGUUUUUUUUUUUUUUUUUUUUUUUACAGAUUCACCAUCACCUGCUUGAUAACAAAACACUAAAUAAAAAAAUAGCGUGGAACAGAAUUCACACAAGAUCGACCCAGGAGCUAGCUGGCAUAGUGUUUCUCGUUUCUUUUACUUCUGGAGACCAGGGUUUGAAUACAAAAGUUUGAAGUGUUUUUGAAAUAUCACUAAAUCAUAUUCAGAUAUCUCACUGUGACUUCCUGUCUAUUUAAUUUUACGAUAUCUGGAAAUUACUUGCUUUUCAUUUAGAUACCUGUAAAUAAUUUUAAGAUACUCAAAAAAAAAAAAAAAAAAAAAAAAAACAUUAGCGGUAUCUCCGAGUAUUUCACAAUAUCUUAAAAUGCAAUUUGAGAUAUGUCAAUGAUAAUUUGGCUUGCCAUAAAUACUGCUUUACAGAGGUAUCGGUUUCACUUACGGGAACAACAUGACCGGUAUACUGUGGAAAGCAUUUUGCUAUGGUAGAGCCCUUUGAAAAAUGUGUUUUAAGGCAGCGUUUUUUCCAUUAGGUAUCUAAAUACUCAGAAAACCUUUAAAAUAUCUCAGAUCAAAUAAAAACUCUAGACUUUAUUAAAGAAGUAUGACUAAUUAGGUACGGUGUUUUACAAAAUAUCAGGCAUCUCUGUAGAAGCGGCUGCAAACUGGAAGAGUAUUACCUUACCUUAUUGUUCUUUAUCGAGAACAAGAAAUACUGACCUGCAAAACCAACGGACCAGACAGUCUAUUCUCUUUAUUACACAAAUAGAACUCAUUUUUCAACAAAAUAGAAACACACUAUCCCUGAAAUGCAAAUAUUGUAUCGAAGAUAAUUAAAGAUGAACAAUAACAUGAAAUGGGAUACUGUUCUGUAUAGUCUACAUGUAUACAACAACAAACUACCAGCAUUUGAUAUGGUUUUAAAAAUAAUUACUGCAGACUGGGUUGUGGAAACUUGCAGUACUUAUUUAUGGUGACUAAUUUUAUACUGUGUGUAAUCAGUAUGAACUUCAGUGCUGAACCUGAUCCUACAGAUGAGAGAAUGCAUCGGCUAAUGCAACAUUAGUUGGAAUGGCAUUUGGACCUCCUUUGCCUCAUUCGUAUUUAUAUUUGUGGACUUUACUGUAACACAAGAACAGCAUGUUUCAGGAAUCUCAAUUAGCACUAAUGUUGGACUAACUUACCUACCUAAACUAGUCCAAGAUCACUGCCAGUCAGGUUCUGAAACCACCUGCAUAACCCAAAGCAUAUUACACUAGUGGUAAAAGAAUACUCUAGUUAUGCCGUACUCAUGUAUUGAAAUGAACUAGUUAUAUUAUACAGGGUGAUUAGAGAGUAAGUUUACCACAUUAAUGAUAUGGUACGUACUUACUUUCUAAUCGCCCUGUAUACAGAAAAGCAUAUUUGACUUUAGGAGUAAUAACUUACCAUCUGUACUGUUUACUGACUGAAUACAAGGGUUUUUUUUUUAGCAAGCACUAGGUGACAAUUUAGUGUACUUUAAGCUUUAAUUUAUAAAAUGGAUUGUCAAUUGAAUGAACAGGAAACACAUGCGCCUGUUAAUAAAUGCUGUCGAACUAGCACGCAAAUGUACUCUGUUUUCACCCAGUAUCCGAGCAUAUCCACAAGCCUGCCUAGGCUUUAUUCCACAACCACCACACAGACUGUAUAUAAACUUAUGGAUUUGUUUUUAAAUUUAAAUAAACACUUUAGCAAAUUACAAAAAUGUAAACUGACAUUUCUUUUUUACCAACAGUUUUCACUUAAGUGUAGUUUUCCACAGCAGACAUUUCUGCAUUCCAACUAUUUGAAGUUAUCCAAAGGAAAAUGUGCCACACAAGACACUGUUGUAUGUUAACUUUCCAUUAUUUUAAGUAACUUUAUUUACUUCAUUUCAAUAAUUCAUCACAAAGAUGACAAACACGCAUUUUUUUUGUGUGAUGCAGUACUGUGCUCAUUCACAAAACCACCAAAAAAAACCUCAAAAAAAAAACCACACGUUAGUCUUUCUCCCCUUUCUCCUCCAGCUUUAUUGAUAGUUUAAAAUUACAUUUCUAUGUUAUAGGACUUCAGUUGCAUUUACCUUCCGACUU